GAUGAGGCAGACCGGCUGCUGGAACAGGGCUGCACUGACUUCACCGUGGACCUGGAGGCCAUCCUGGCAGCCGUGCCAGCCCACAGGCAGACACUGCUGUUCAGCGCCACGCUGACCGACACGCUCCGGGAGCUGCAGGGCCUGGCCACCAACCAGCCCUUCUUCUGGGAGGCACAGGCCCCGAUGAGCACGAGGACUGGUCCAUUAUCAUCUUCACCAACACGUGCAAGACCUGCCAGAUUCUGUGCAUGAUGCUGCGCAAGUUCAGCUUCCCCACCGUGGCUCUGCACUCCAUGAUGAAGCAGAAAGAACGCUUUGCCGCCCUAGCCAAGUUCAAGUCCAGCAUCUACCGGAUCCUGAUUGCAACAGACGUGGCCUCCCGGGGCCUGGACAUCCCUACGGUACAGGUGGUCAUCAACCACAACACCCCCGGGCUCCCCAAGAUCUACAUCCACCGAGUCGGCCGGACAGCACGUGCAGGGCGGCAGGGUCAGGCCAUCACGCUGGUGACACAGUAUGACAUCCACCUGGUGCACGCCAUUGAGGAGCAGAUCAAGAAGAAGCUAGAGGAAUUCUCCGUGGAAGAGGCUGAGGUGCUACAGAUCCUCACACAGGUCAACGUGGUGCGAAGAG
rnacentral:sRNA from 1 species